CUCGAGGCUGCAACAAUGUUUAUGAAUCUCCUUGCAAGCAUAUGGACCCUGCUGUUUUUGAUUCUGUCGGGCGCUCUUGCUGCUGACUGGAUAGUGCAUGUUCCCAUGGAUCCAGUCUAUACUCCUCUUGGUUCUUCUGUAGUUCUGCAGUGCACCUAUGACUACCCUGAGGAGUCCGACCAGGGAAUACUGCGCAAAGUGCUGUCAGAGAUGUGGUGUCUGAAUGAAAGCCGCUGCAUUACUCCAAGAUACGUGUACCACAGUGCAGGGAUAUUCCCUGAGCCCUCAUACCAGGGCCGAGUCAAGUACUUGGGGCAGACGGGGAGCAAAAAUUGCUCUCUGAUGAUUUCUGAUGUGAGGUCAGAAGACAGCGGCGUGUACAUGUUCCGGUUCAUCACCGACCAUCUGAAGGCCAAGCUACCAGGACAGAAAGGAGUGAAUCUACAGGUCACAAAUCAGACAGAAACAAGGAGUGCAUCUUCAUUCACUACUGGCAUUGUGCUUGGAAUUAUUAUCAUGGUUAUCAUAAUAGCAGGCAUUGUGAUAGUCAUCAGAAGGAAGUCACGGUAAGCAAAUCAUCUACUCAAUAAGUGUCUUGUCUGGCUUCAUUUCUGGUCUUAUAAACUAUGGGAAUAUGGCUUUGUUUUUCAGGGGAGAGAGGUCAAGACCACUUUAAACAAGUUAUUACCACAGAGGAUGAAAAAAACGUGUGACUCUGAUCAAAACAGAGAUGUAAACCAAUAGUUCUGCUUUUUUCUGGUUUGUGUGCUACAUUUUACAUUCAUUUAUGCAUUUUUUGCAUCCAUCACAGUCUAUUAUUUAUCUAUUUAAAUUAUUUUCUGCAUAUCAAACGGCACAAUGUUUCAUUCAUAUUUUAUUUCACCUUUAGUAUUAUCGUAUUGUAUCUUACAUUUUGCAAGUCACUGCUGCUGUGUUGCAUAUCAGGGUGAACACUGUCCUCAGCCACUGAACUAGAGACUGAACAACACGUUUUCUUCACAGAGUCUGUAAAAAGAGACAAUAAUGGUUAUGUUUAGAAAGUGAGUCAUUUAUUAUGCCAGCAGGAAAGAUACAGUGGAUUCUCACAUUGUAAAUCAUAGAAAAUUGCCUCUUGUUCUAUCCUCAAUUUUAAUUAAAAAAAGCACUUGGUAUUGUUUAUAAUCACCUCACAAAUGAAAAAACAUUCAUUAAGGGAACAGGUCACCCUAUAAAAAACAUGAUUAUCAAUCUGUUGUUAUUUACUCACCCUUGAAUCUGUAAAGAAUCUUCACACAGUUCCAGGUUGUUAAAAAACAACAACAAUGAAUUUCCCAUGUGGUCUCUGUAUUCUGAAAUGCCAAUAAUGCCAAAAAUAUGCAUAAAGCUAUUGUUUUUCUGUUUUUAUUUUUUGGUAUGAUGUGACCA
rnacentral:lncRNA from 1 species